GCGGGAGUAACUCAGUUGGUAGAGUGCAACCUUGCCAAGGUUGACGUCGCGGGUUCGAGUCCCGUCUCCCGCUCCA
rnacentral:tRNA from 1 species